UUUUAUUUUCCUGUGAAAUCUUAAGAGUUUAAAAAAAUACUAAUCUUCAGUUAUACUCGUUUUACCAGGUAUGAGAGACAGUGAAGUGGGUUUCAUUGUGUACUAGAGGUCAGGAAGCCAGUUUACUUCUAGCAUUUUCUGGCAUUCAUAUAAUCACUUGGAUUCUUUUGGCUUUAUGUACUUUUUGCUCAUUGAUGUAAUUUGUGGUAUCUGUCUAUCUUUAAACCUCAGGCGUCAUUUUUGGUAAGUAGGAUAAACUGUGUUGAUCAUCUAAUAUAAUUGUUUAUUUGAGAGAACUUAAAAUACGUCUUCUUAAAAGUCAUUGUAGUGAAAAUGAGUUUAACAUAUCAACCAAGCUAAGCUGUAUGUGUUUGGUGAAGUCCUGGCUUAUUAUGUUCAAUCCCAAAGUAAUGGAUUUUGAAAAAAAGGGAUUUUGCUUAAUAUAAACUUUUAAUGUUUGUUAAUUGAUAUAAAUAAAUUGCUAUCUCUUCUCACCCUAUUCGUGGAAAACCUUUACUUUUCUUGCUGAACAUUAGUAAUAAGUAUACCUUGCAUUCACUUUAUAUAUUAAAUGUGCAGUAAUACAUGUUAUUUCCCUGUUAAUGUUGCAAUGUUUGUUUGUUUUCAACUUUUACCAGUUUCUCAAACAAUUAGGUCUACAUCCUAACUGGCAGUUUGUUGAUGUAUAUGGAAUGGAUCCUGAACUUCUUAGCAUGGUACCAAGACCAGUGUGUGCAGUGUUACUUCUCUUCCCUAUUACAGAAAAGUAUGAAGUAUUCAGAACGGAGGAGGAGGAAAAAAUAAAGUCUCAGGGACAAGAUGUUACGUCAUCAGUGUAUUUCAUGAAGCAAACAAUCAGCAAUGCCUGCGGAACAAUUGGACUCAUCCAUGCUAUUGCCAACAAUAAAGACAAGAUGCACUUUGAAUCUGGAUCAACCUUGAAAAAAUUCCUAGAGGAGUCUGUGUCAAUGAGCCCUGAAGAACGAGCCAGAUACCUAGAGAACUAUGACGCUAUCCGAGUCACUCAUGAGACCAGUGCCCAUGAAGGUCAGACUGAGACUGUAAGUGCCAUGAGCUUUGUCCCAUUCACCUUGAAUCCCCAGGACAGUGCUUGGCAUGUGUAGGAAUUUAUGAGAAAUUACAUAUACAAAGGUAAGGAGCACAGGAUGUAGGUUUGUAUGCUGACUCCACUACUUAGCAGCUUAGGCAAGAUACUUUCCUCAGUGUAAAAUGGAGAUAGCAGCAUCUACCUUAUGGGAUUGUUGUGAAGAUUGAUGAGCUAAUCAUAUAAAGUCCCUGGCAUAUAAUGGACCUUCAAUAAAUUUUAGGUGGUAAUUUUAUUUUAUAAGCAUUCAGAAAAUGAAUAUGAAUGGCAGAGGAUGAGGCUAUAAGAAGGUGAGGAUGAGGCAGAGGAGGAAGUUAACAAGGCAAAGCCAGACAAGGAGGGGGCCUGGAUUUUAUAGGCAACAGGAAGCCACCAAGGAUGGUGUGUUUAGUUUAGUUCAUGGGUUAUCUGUGUGGAAGUUGGAUAUGGAGCCUCACGCUAUGGGGAGAUAGCUGAAAUCUUUUGUAUUUGGAUAGUAGUUAGAGCCUUGAGAAUUCUAUAGAGGGGGAGUGGUGGUGGGCCACAAUAAAUCCCCGGGGCAUGUUGGUGUUUACAGAGUGGGUAGAGGGGGAAGAGAAGCCAGUAAUAACAGUGUCAUAGCAAUGGCAGUAGUCAGGGACAUCUUUGUUACUCUGUCAGAACAUGUCCAUGGGAGUAGAGCAGCCCAGACCUUAGUGCAUGCAGAGAUUUAUAGCCUGAAUGAGAAAUCAGUAAGUUGAGUCACCCAAAUACAGUGGUAUUUUCAGAAGACUGGCUUACUUAAUAGGUUUCUGUAGACCAGGUGUCUGUUUACUCAUGUGGUUUUCCCAUCCCAUCAUCCCACCAUGAUCGUCAGGCAGCCUUUGGCUAAUCCAGAAAUUUGGACAGUAGCCCCACUUCACUUAAGUUUCAUUAACCCAAACUGAAAAUUAUUGCUUUCGUUUUUCACUUAAGAUAAAAGAACAAUGGGAUAUGAGGAACUUAAAUUGUGUGUUGUUAAAAUUGUGAACAAGUGUCAGUGAUACAGUCAGUAAUGGAAGCAAUCUGCCAAGUCCAAGGUGAAGAAGAGAAAAAAAAAUCCAGAAAGGCACCAAGUAUAGAUGAAAAAGUAGAUCUUCAUUUUAUUGCAUUAGUUCAUGUAGAUGGGCAUCUCUAUGAAUUAG